rnacentral:siRNA from 1 species
UCGUCAUUGAUUCAGGUAGUU